AAUCAUAUUCCUGUUACAAGAACAGUGUAAUAAUAUAAGCCAUAACGGCUGGUUAAUAUUCGUUGUUUGACUGCAAAGUGUCACUUAUAUACAGAGUGUGCACCUUGCCAGUAGGGGGCAGUGUGGCGCUGUGCUUCUCCCUAGGGACUCUCUUUGAUAGCGGACUCUGGCUCCUUCCUCAUUCUACCGAGCGAAGCUUCACUGUACAGAAGCAUGGCUGCCUGUCUCAUCCUUUCUCCUGUUUAACACAGCAGCAGCAGCACCUCAGUGGUUUGUUUCCAGUUUUCAGGUUAAUUUCUGUUUGGUUUACAAUAAAAUACAAUUAACUAACUUAA